GAUGUAGUUCAGUGGUUGAGUGUUUGCUUAGCAUGGACAAGGCCCUGGGUUUGAUCCCCAGCACA
rnacentral:tRNA from 1 species